AGUCACUGACAUUAGACUACCCUGUACGUCCCAGCCGUAAACUAUGCUCGCUAGGUGUCAGGCAUGGCGCGACCGUGUCUGGUGCCGCAGGGAAGCCGUGAAGCGAGCCACCUGGGAAGUACGGCCGCAAGGCUGAAACUUAAAGGAAUUGGCGGGGGAGCACAACAACGGGUGGAGCCUGCGGUUUAAUUGGACUCAACGCCGGACAACUCACCGGGAACGACAGCAAUAUGUAGGCCAGGCUGAAGACCUUGCCUGAAUCGCUG
rnacentral:rRNA from 1 species